UACGGAGGGUGCAAGCGUUGUCCGGAAUCACUGGGCGUAAAGGGCGCGUAGGCGGCUCAUGAAGGCUGUGGUGAAAGUCCGGGGCUCAACCUCGGAUCGGCCGUGGCGACUCGUGGGCUGGAGCACUGUAGAGGCGGGUGGAAUUCCGGGUGUAGCGGUGGAAUGCGUAGAGAUCCGGAAGAACACCAGUGGCGAAGGCGGCCCGCUGGGCAGUGGCUGACGCUGAGGCGCGACAGCGUGGGGGAACAAACAGGG
rnacentral:rRNA from 1 species